CUCCUCCUUUGUCGUUUCCUCCUCGACGGUUUCCUCGUCCA
rnacentral:antisense_RNA from 1 species